CGGGGCGUAGCGCAGUCUGGUAGCGCGUCGGUUUUGGGAACCGAAAGCCGCAGGUUCGAAUCCUGCCGCCCCGA
rnacentral:tRNA from 1 species